ACUUUUAAUGGAUAACAGUAGUCCGA
rnacentral:tRNA from 1 species